rnacentral:precursor_RNA from 1 species
GCAUUGGCCGCCGCCGCAGCGAGCCGGGCGCCGGCGGGGAGCGCGGCCAGCCGGGCGGGCGGCGGGCGGCGGGGCGG